UGGUUAAUUACUAGUGAUCACUGAUCUAGAAUCUGGAAUUUGAAUUGAACACUAAAAUGACCAAAGAAUUGAUUAUUAUUUUUCUAAUUUGUAUUUCUCUCUUUGCACUUGAAUCUAACACCCAAGUUGAUCAAUCAGGAUUCAUUAGCAUAGAUUGUGGAUUUCCUCAAGGUUCCAACUAUACCGAUGCAGCGACUGGACUACACUAUGUAUCCGGUUCAGGGUUCAUCGAUACAGGUAUUAAUAUGGUACUAUCUCGACUUUGUUUCAGGCCACUGGCCUGGAACAACAGUUGUUCACCCUCACAAGCUUUCCCGAAGGAAAAAGAAAUUGCCACACCAUUAGAGUUUCUCAAGGAAAAGGAAAGAAAUACUUGAUCAGGGCAAGAUUUCUGUAUGGAAAUUAUUAUGAUGGGAAAAGUCAACCACCUAAUUUCGAUCUUCAUCUUGGAGUUGACUUUUGGGAAAUAGUCAGGGCUUCAAUUCCGUUACUUAGAGAGAUCAUACACGUUCUCUCCUCGGAUUUUGUACAUGUUUGUCUAGUAGAUACACACCAUUUUUAUCCACACUUGAACUCAGGCUCUUUAACGACACACGCAUGUAUACAACCGUAUCAGGGCCUUGAUCUUGGCUCAACCUCCACUCACUUUGUAAGGUAAAUACUCCUUAUCUAAUACUGAAUGAUACUCAAUUUGAUUAAUUAUCUGGUGAUUCCAUAUAUAUAAAAAUGUGACAGGCUAGUCUCCUGAUGAGCAUUCAUCAUAGAAACUUGAUUUCUGUAGUUGGGUAUUGUGUUGAGGGCACUAACAUUGGUAUCAUUUACGAAUACAUGCCCAAUCGAAGCUUAGACAUCCAUUUAUCAGAUAGAAAUCCCACUCCUUUAACAUGGGAGGAAAGACUUCAAAUAGCGUUGGACGCAGCUCAAGGCACAACCUAGCUCCGGUUUAGAAUAGUUACAUAUUGGAAGUGCUUAAUUUUAAGUGAAAUAAUGAAGGCUUGGAGUAUCUACAUCAUGGUUGUCAGCCACCAAUAAUACACAGAGAUAUCAAGCCUACAAAUAUUCUAUUAGAUAACAAAUUCCACGCAAAGCUUGCUGAUUUUGGUUUGUCAAGAUUUUUCCCAAGUGAAGGGGAAGGUCACGUUACCACUGUAAUCGCGGGCACACAAGGCUACCUUGAUCCUGAGUACUAUAGGUCAAAUCAGCUAACGGAAAAGAGUGAUGUAUACAGUUUCGGUGUUGUUCUUUUGGAAAUAAUAAACAGGGCGUAAUUCAAUAGGAGAACAUGACAAGAUUUAUGUGAUUACGUGGGUGAAUGGCAUGCUUGAGAAAAGAGAUACUGCAAAAGUAGUCGAUCCAAGAAUACGAGGAGAAGUCGGUGUAAGUUGUGGAAUUGGCAAUGGCUUGUGUUUCUCUAGAUCCAACAAGUAGACCAGCUAUGUCUGUCGUAGUCUUGAUAUUAAAGCAAUGUUUAAGAGAGAUGAUUGUCUAUGCCUCGAAGUGAAGUACACGAUGUUUCUAAAUUGGAUAAUUGCCUCCAUACUAAGAUGACAUGACCGUGUGUUUAUUUGGUUGUGAGUGUGAAAGACAAACUACAAUAGUACAUAGUUUCAUUUAACAAAAUUUAUGUACAUUCAUUGUUUCUUUUGUGAUAAUCGGGGCAAACUUGGUAUAACUAUGUACUGUAUUUAGGAGAAAAAUCAACUAGGUAGGUAGACAAGGAUUAAGUCUAGGACAAUGAAUACAUAUGCAUUCGCUGUUGAAACUUGAAGAUGAAUACAUCUGCAACUGCA